UUGGCGCCAACUGAUAAUCUUGAAAGGUGAAGCAACGAAGCUCUGGGUCGUAGAACUGUAGAAGAGUCUGCAACGGCACCGGAUCGACUACCAUCUUCAACAGUGUCAGAAUAUCUCCAUACUGGUCAACAAACCCCUUCUGGUUACCACUGGUCACAAGGCUGCUCAACUCUAUCAACGAUGUCAAUCCGAGUGCCACUUUCGAGUAGGAACAAGUCUUCCGCUUCAACUCCGGGACUGUUGCCAUCUCUAUCAGUGAAUCGAACUCCUGAAUGAACCUGAGAAAUGAUAUGCAUGAAGAUAUUAGCUUUUUUCUUUUCUUUUCUUUUUU
rnacentral:lncRNA from 1 species